AGAAAUUUAGGUUAAACUAGACCGAAAGCCUUCAAGCUCUUAUAAAGUUAAAAAUACUUAAUUUCUG
rnacentral:tRNA from 1 species